CCUACGGGAGGCAGCAGUGAGGAAUAUUGGUCAAUGGGCGGAAGCCUGACCCAGCAACGCCGCGUGAAGGAAGAAGGCUUUCGGGUUGUAAACUUCUUUUCUCAGGGACGAAGCAAGUGACGGUACCUGAGGAAUAAGCCACGGCUAACUACGUGCCAGCAGCCGCGGUAAGACGGAGGUGGCAAGCGUUAUCCGGAUUUACUGGGUGUAAAGGGCGUGUAGGCGGGACUGCAAGUCAGUGGUGAAAACCAGGGGCUCAACCCUUGGCCUGCAUUUGAAACUGUACUUCUGGAGUGCAGGAGAGGUAGGGGGAAGGCGUAGUGUAGCGGUGAAAUGCGUCGA
rnacentral:rRNA from 1 species